rnacentral:misc_RNA from 1 species
AAGUCGUAACAAGGUAACCGUAGGUGAACCUGCGGUUGGAUCAUUAACAAAUUAUUUAGGCCCCUGGCUGCCCCAAAAGGGCGAAGGGGGGAAACCUAAACAUUUGUGUGCACCAUAUCUGUCUUUGGCAGUUCGAGUGUCUUGGGUGCGUAACUGCCUCGAGUACCUACCGAGGCUUUCCUUUCGGGGUUUGCCAGAAUUGGGCUGCCGCUUUUUUGAACAAACCUUUUGUUGUUUUUGUUUUGACUGAAUUUGUUUGAUCUUUAUGAUUGAAUUUAAAUACAACUUUUGACAACGGAUCUCUUGGCUCUC